rnacentral:rRNA from 1 species
CCUACGGGUGGCAGCAGUGAGGAAUAUUGGUCAAUGGGCGCGAGCCUGAACCAGCCAAGUCGCGUGAGGGAUGAAGGUUCUAUGGAUCGUAAACCUCUUUUAUAAGGGAAUAAAGUGUGGGACGAGUCAUAUUUUGUAUGUACCUUAUGAAUAAGGGUCGGCUAACUCCGUGCCAGCAGCCGCGGUAAUACGGAGGAUCCGAGCGUUAUGCGGAUUUGUUGGGUUUAAAGGGUGGGUAGGCGGCCGUUUAAGUCAGCGGUGAAAGUCUGUGGCUUAACCACAGAAUUGCCGUUGAAACUGGGGAGCUUGAGUAUGUUUGAGGCAGGCGGAAUGCGUGGUGUAGCGGUGAAAUGCUUAGAUAUCACGCAGAACACCGAUUGCGAAGGCAGCCUGCCAAGCCAUGACUGACGCUGAUGCACGAAAGCGUGGGGAUCAAACAGGAUUAGAUACCCGGGUAGUC